UUUUUUCCAGCCUUAGUUAUUCAGUAUGGCUGCAAGAUUGAUGACAAUGCUCAUGGUAUAUUACCUGGGGCAAAAACCACUCUCCCCAAAUACAUCAGCAUGACU